ACACACAGAGAGAGAAAGAGAUUUAAACUGUAUAUAUUGUUGCUUUGUCUUUUACAAUAUUCCAUCAGUCUGUUAACUAAAAUGUCAUGCCAAUAAAACGCAAUGAAUUAAGACAGAUUAAAAAAAGCUUUCAUUUUAAUGUUUGGAAUCACAGAGGUCAAUACCAUAAUAACUAGGUAGAAAAGUAUACAGUAUGAAUGUGUGAAUCUCUUGAGCUGAGGGGAAAUUCACUCUGAGGUUGUGUCGGAGCAGGCGCUGUGGAGCGCUUUAAUUGAAUUGUGGCUUCAUUUCAGUAUCUUCUGGGGUUAGCGCUAGUCUAGUGACUGAUAAUUAACUAUUCCCUCUCUCGCCAUAAUUAGCUGACCACAUUUCAAAAGAAAAGCCCCACUGCUCCUAUUACGAGCUCCCAGAGCUAAACGAGUGAAAGAGGCAGGAGAGAUCAAUGUAAAGAGUGACAAAUAAACAAAGAAAGGGCCACACGACCACAGGAGAUAAUAAAAAGCAGGUGAACAACUUUAGCUAAAGGCUAACGCUAAUAGUCAAAAGGUCGAAAAAUUUAGACAAAUUAUUAUUCCAUAUGAAGUUUACAGAUCUCAAAACUGACUAUUUACUUUCUAAAUAAAAUAAUGGUCAGUCAAUUAAGAAUAAUUCAUAAUCUCACAUGAAAAUAUACUGAAACUUGUCUUUUCCCAACGCUGAAACAACGUUGAAACAAUGUUUAAUGCGUAACGGUUGAAAACCAACUGGUACAUGACCAACCUUCAACGUUGAAAUAUGGUUGAAAUAAUGACAGUUGUUGUUUCAAUGUUGAAACUACGUUAAAAUAAUGUUUAAUGCUAAAUGGUUGAAAAAGGGUAAUAAAAACACUUAUAAAUCAACUUUGAUUUUUUUUUUUUUUACAAGAUCUGUAUGUUGAAUCACUUAAUGUAUGUACAGAAUAAAUAAUUUCUGCCUUUUUAAAUUAUUAUUAAGAUCGCUAUUAUUAUUUUAUUAUCAUUUUACAUUUUUAUCAUGAAACCUUCUGGUAUAACUAUUAUCAACAACAAAACACAUUGGGCUGAUUUACCACGCUGAAACAAUUCCUAUUGGUUAUUUAACCUUAUUUGCUUUGAUCAUGAUUGGUUAAUCUGGCUGUCAUUCAUGAAACUGGCCAAUGAAACUGUGCACGCCAUUUUAAGUUUGAAAAUAUGACCGUUAUCACAGUUGCCAAGUCCACGUAUUAUACACAACUUUGGGCUUCUUUUUUUGUAAAGUUGCGGGAAAAAAUCCCUGGUCGCGGGUUGAGGUUUUUUGGGCUUAUUUAAAAAAACAUGGUUGCUUGUUUGGGAAAUCUGACAAGCAACUUCUUUAUUUAUUUAUGUUCGCCGUAUUCUCCAGUGCAUUGAUUGACACUCUGUCUGCUCGCAGUUAAUAGCCAACCAGUGCAAUAUAAGUGCUGUAGCAUAAUUUGCCAAAUGUUCCGCCCCUCAUUGGAGAAAAAUCACAUUCAAAAAGAAGCGCGUGACGCUGUAAUCCAAGCGAUGACAGAAGUAGACGUAGAAGAGUGGGAUGACUUUCUUUUAGCUUAAUUUUUAUAAUGUUUUUGUAAUGUAUUAAAUAUCACGGGCUGUAAUAAAAAACAAGUAGUCAUAUCCUAAUACUGAGUAAAUACAUUUGGUUCGAAUAGCCUGGUAUGGCAAGAUGUCUUAAAAUGUAUUUCUUUUUUUAACAUUUAAAUUUAGACCACAUUACGGCUCCCCUUUGAAGCUCUUGUGCUUUUCUCCUUUUCCAUCUCUCCAAUCCUAUUCUGCUCACAGGUGAUUGGAGACGAGUUUUGUUCCCACUUUUGUUGCAGUUUGCUAAUUUUUGUAAAAUAGCUUCUGUUUUUGCUUUUCAGAUAAAAUACUGGUUUCAGUGUAAUAUGUUGCAGGCUCAUUUAUUGGUAAUAAAUCAUUGAUAAAUAAUAUUGAUGAUGAUAAAUCAUCAAAAAAAAAUAUUGGGCUUGUUUUGGGCUUGUUUUUGAAGCUGCAGUUGCUUAUUUGUCUCGCGAGAGUUGGCAACUGUGACCGUUAUCCUGACCGUCUUUCUGAGUGAGGUCGCUGUGAGUGAGAGAGCUGCUGCGCAAUAAAACUGCUAACGUUAGGUCGGUCCCGAAUUAUUGUAUAAUUAUUGUAUAAAAACGUUUACGCUAUUAUUAUAUUAUAGAUCCUAUAUUCUCAUUCAAUUUAGGUCUACUAUCCACUUAAACAAUAUGUCAUCAAGUUUCUAAUUUUAUGUACCGGUUCUAUUUAUGUAAACCCUGCGUAACUUUCAUGUGUUUGAUGGGCGCGCGCGUUGAACAUUCGAGGCGCUUUUAAACUGGAGUGGAGGGAGUUUCCAUGGAAACGGGUUGGCAACUCAGCUGACAAGUAGCAAAAAAAAACUCCGUCUCUCACUGUUGUUUUUACUGCUUUCAGGUAAGUUUAGUCCCUAAAAUUACACAAAUAAUACAUACAACUGUUCCUGACACUUUCUUAUAUGUAAUUGACACGCUUCUGUUGAAUAUUUACUUUACAGAAAUGGUUCAGUGUCAUCGGAAAAAGUCCGUUAGCAUCACAACCGUGAGCUAACUAUAGAGGCUAACUAUAAGAGGGCUGUUUGUGAAGACAGAAAAUCAAGAGAUGUUGUGACAACCUGGACAGAAUUCAGCUCCAGAUCCACCCUCCACACCAGACUUCUCACUCACAAGGACUGCUGUCUACUAGCAUAUUAUGUGUUCUCUUCAGAGUUAGGUGCAGUCGGGCCUGGAUGUAGCCUCGCGUCUCCUGAAAGGCUUGUCUCUGAGAGACCUCUGCUGGGUAGUGGGUGCAGAUCCCAAUGAUGUUGGUGCACAGGAAGAUCAGCACGUUUGCACUCAGCUGAGAGAAAAAAGAAAAGCAGACUCAUUUAAUGUCUCUCUAGUGAUCAGUGGGACCUUUCAACAAAAACGGCUUUAGCUCAGCGCUCUGGAAUCCUGGGACAUCUGUUGUACUCUAGGGCUUUACUCGACUGCAGUAUGGGAAAAAAAGCCAACCUCUGACCCGGAGAGGCUACUUCCUGUAGAGGAGUUUACAAUAGGGGAGCCGGAAUGGAGCUAAAAAUGGAGCCUGAAGCAGAGCCAACACUGUAACUUCCUUUGGGUGAAUGAGACGAGAGGAGGGGGUAUGGGAGAGUGAUGGGGGUUACUUCAGGUCACGCGGUUCACACCAUUACACUUGGCUGAAACACUGCACAAUCACUAUGAAACACUUGUUGGCCUAUUUCCUAAAAAGCUUAUCUUAAAAUAUAUGCUAAAUAAUUACCAGAUUAGACAUUAUGUGGCUGUUGAGAAGCCAUUCGUGGCUAUGCGAAGCUAUGAGAAAAUAUAACCAAAAUUAAUAUUGCUAAAGCAGAUUCCAUACAGUUCAGAUAUUUUAUUGCAUGAAGGGCUGGGCAAUAUGUUAAAAAAAUUAUAUCUUGUUACUUUUUCAACUAUGUAACAAUAUUUUAUUUGAAAAAUGUCUUGAUGUAUACUGAAAUGGCUUCAAAAAUUAUGUUUUUUUGUUUGUUUGACAUAAUGUAACCAUCAAAAUUUUAAAUGUUUAACACAAGAAGUUAAAUUAAAGAAGGUAUAAAAAUCUAUAAAUAGAGAAAAAUAUAAAAUAAAUGUGAAAUGCAGCAAAAUCUACUUAAGAUAAGAUCUACUUUAGAUUAAGCUAAUAACAGAGGCAUGUUCAGAAAUAUUCAGGUCUGUGGAUUUCUUGAAAUAAGUCUCUUAUAUUUACCAAGGCUGCAUUUAUUUGAUUAAGAAUACAGUGAAAUGUGAAAGAUUAUUACAAAUGAAAAUAACUGUUUUCUAUUUGAAUAUAUUGUAAAAUGUAAUUUAUUCCUGUGAUGUAAAGCUGAAUUUUCAGCAGCAAUAACAGCAGUCUUCAGUGUCACAUGAUCACUCAGAAAUGAUCUGAAUACGGUGAUUUGGUUUCUUAUUGUCUAUAAGGAAUAAAAAGAUCAAAAGACAAGCAUUUACUUGAAAUGUAAAACUUGUAACAUUAUAAAUGUUUUUUACUGUCACUUUUGAUUAAUUUGAUGAUUUUAUUUAAUUCCCAAACUUAUAAAAUAAUAAAAUAAAAAAUAAUCAUGGUAAUCAUUUGAAACAGGGGCAAACCUAAGAAAUGAUAAAAAAUAUAUAAAUUAAAUUAAACGUUUUAAUGAUCAAACUGGUAUUAAAUACAUUGUACAUAUUCAAUGUAUCACCUAGUCUUACACCAAAAUAAUAACAAACAUGCCCGUCAGCUGAAAUAAAACAACAAUAACAGAUGCAAUGUAACGUAACUACAGAGGGACUCAGUUUGGAGUUGUUCAGUCCAUAACUCUGUAUUUUAGGAGCGUGAGCGCAGUCUGAGGUCAAUCGCCGCUAAAUUAAGAGCUAACAAUGGUGGAAAAGUAAUCAGUCAAUAAGCCUUCUUCCACUCUCAUCGACCAAUCAAUGCCCA